rnacentral:rRNA from 1 species
GACGAACGCUGGCGGCGUGCCUAAUACAUGCAAGUGGAACGCUGAAGGAGGAGCUUGCUUCUCUGGAUGAGUUGCGAACGGGUGAGUAACGCGUAGGUAACCUGCCUGGUAGCGGGGGAUAACUAUUGGAAACGAUAGCUAAUACCGCAUAAGAGUAGAUGUUGCAUGACAUUUGCUUAAAAGGUGCAAUUGCAUCACUACCAGAUGGACCUGCGUUGUAUUAGCUAGUUGGUGAGGUAACGGCUCACCAAGGCAACGAUACAUAGCCGACCUGAGAGGGUGAUCGGCCACACUGGGACUGAGACACGGCCCAGACUCCUACGGGAGGCAGCAGUAGGGAAUCUUCGGCAAUGGACGGAAGUCUGACCGAGCAACGCCGCGUGAGUGAAGAAGGUUUUCGGAUCGUAAAGCUCUGUUGUAAGAGAAGAACGAGUGUGAGAGUGGAAAGUUCACACUGUGACGGUAUCUUACCAGAAAGGGACGGCUAACUACGUG